CCCUUAGAUGUCCUGGGCCGCACGCGCGUUACACUGAUGCAUUCAACGAGCAUAUAACCUUGGCCGAGAGGCCUGGGUAAUCUUGUUAACAUGCAUCGUGAUAGGGAUAGAUUAUUGCAAUUAUUAAUCUUGAACGAGGAAUUCCUAGUAAUCGCAGUUCAUCAAACUGCAAUGAUUACGUCCCUGCCCUUUGUACACACCGCCCGUCGCUGCCCGGAACUGAGCCGUUUCGAGAAGACUGAGGAUUGCUGACUUGAGGCCUUCACGGGCUUCUAGUCGGUGAAAAUCAAUUUAAUCGCAGCGGCUUGAACCGGGCAAAAGUCGUAACA
rnacentral:rRNA from 1 species